ensembl:lncRNA
UGUUUCAUGCAGAGACCACCAGCUAUAUAAGUGAUCAUAUAAUCUAGCACGCUUGAAGCUCUGUUUGCAUCUGUUGGGACUGUACACUUCUCACAAUAUGCAUCUUCAGACCUUGCUGUCAUUCGUGGUCAUCUUGACUCUCACACUCCACGCCUGUCUGAGUGAACCAGACAUGCUGCACCCACCUCGACCCUGCACUGAAGCAGAAAACGAGAAUGGUUACAACACUUUUCUUAAACGGCAUGUACGCAAUGACAUACCAACCGAUCUGAACAAAGAAAACUGGAAAAAGUUUAUUAACAGAAUCAGAACCUGGAACAGAACGAUUCAGUCAUUCUUUCCCUUCAGUGAGAAAGACAACGUGGAAGCUGUGUGUUCAUCAGGAGGAAAGAUGUUUGAGAGCAACCUCUGCAUCAGCAAGAAGCCUUUUUCCUUCAUCACUAUUAAGAUUGACAAAACGUCGCUAGUGUCAGGAGAGAGAAGCAAGCACGUCUUACACAUCUAAACUGAUGCUCCACAAAGAUUUUGGAUUUAUUUUCAAUACACAGAUUUUACAAUGGAAAUUAAGUUAGAAAAUACACAGCUAUGCAUUUAAAGGGUUAAAAAUAGGACAG